rnacentral:tRNA from 3 species
GCCAAUGUAGCUCAGUGGUAGAGCAGCUGUUUCGUAAACAGCAGGUCGUGGGUUCAAUUCCCACCGUUGGCU